ACUAAACCUAGCCCUACCACACAUUCAACACAACUAAUUAUACCCAUAAAACAAAACAUUUGACAAUAAUAAGUAUUGGAGAAAGAAAAUUAUGCUAGGAGCUAUAGAAACAGUACCGUAAGGGAAAGAUGAAAGAUUACUUUAAAGUACAAACAAGCAAAGAUUAAACCUUGUACCUUUUGCAUAAUGAGUUAACUAGAAACCACCUAGCUAAGAGACCUUAAGCUAGAUACCCCGAAACCAAACGAGCUACCUAAAAGCAGUACAAAGAACUAACCCGUCUAUGUAGCAAAAUAGUGGGGUGACUUCUAGGUAGAGGUGAAAAGCCUACCGAGCUUGGUGAUAGCUGGUUACCCAAUAAAGAAUUUCAGUUCGACUUUAAGAUUACCAUAAGAAAAACUAAUCUAAAUGUAAUCUUAAAAUCUAGCCUCAAGAGGGACAGCUCUUCAGGAAUGGAAACAACCUUUUAUAGUGAAUAAACCCAGUAAACAAGACCAUUGUUGGCCUAAAAGCAGCCAUCGAUAAAGAAAGCGUUAAAGCUCAACACCACCACAACCCUAAUACCAUAAGACACAAUGAUUUCCUAUAAAUACUAAUUGGGUCAAUCUAUAACUAUAUAGAUGAGAUACUGUUAACAUGAGUAACAAGAACACCGUUCUCCAAGCACAAGCCUAUAACAACCCGGAUGACCAUUGUUAGUUAACACCACCAGGUGAAGAACCCAACUAUAAACCCACCUAUGAUUAAACUGUUAACCCAACACAGGCGUGCUAUAAGGAAAGAUUAAAAGAAGUAAAAGGAACUCGGCAAACAUGAAUCCCGCCUGUUUACCAAAAACAUCACCUCUAGCAUCACAAGUAUUAGAGGCAUCGCCUGCCCAGUGACAAAAGUUCAACGGCCGCGGUAUCCUGACCGUGCAAAGGUAGCAUAAUCACUUGUUCCUUAAUUAGGGACUAGAAUGAACGGCUUCACGAGGAUUCAACUGUCUCUUACUUCCAAUCAGUGAAAUUGACCUUCCCGUGAAGAGGCGGGAAUUCUACAAUAAGACGAGAAGACCCUAUGGAGCUUUAAUUUAUUAAUCUAUCUUUAUAAACAACCACUCUACUGAACCAAACAACAAAGACAUAGAUUAAUAAUUUCGGUUGGGGUGACCUCGGAGCACAAAACAACCUCCGAACGAUUUUAGCCAAGACCAACAAGUCAAAGCGACAAUGAUCUAAUUGACCCAAUUUUUGAUCAACGGACCAAGUUACCCUAGGGAUAACAGCGCAAUCCUAUUCAAGAGUUCAUAUCGACAAUCAGGGUUUACGACCUCGAUGUUGGAUCAGGACAUCCCAAUGGUGCAGAAGCUAUUAAAGGUUCGUUUGUUCAACGAUUAAAGUCCUACGUGAUCUGAGUUCAGACCGGAGCAAUCCAGGUCGGUUUCUAUCUAUUAACUAUUUCUCCCAGUACGAAAGGACAAGAGAAAUAGGGCCUCCUUUACUAAAGCGCCCUAAAACUAAUAUAUGAAAUUAUCUCAAUAUAGUAAGUUUGUUAAACUCCCGCCCUAGACAAGGGCUUA
rnacentral:rRNA from 1 species